GUASGCGGGCGAGCGUUGUCCGGAUUCAUUGGGCGUAAAGAGCUCGUAGGCGGUUCAGUAAGUCAGGUGUGAAAUCUCCGCGCUCAACGCGGAGCGGCCACCUGAUACUGCUGUGACUCGAGUCCGGUAGGGGAGUGUGGAAUUCCCGGUGUAGCGGUGAAAUGCGCAGAUAUCGGGAGGAACACCAGUAGCGAAGGCGGCACUCUGGGCCGUGACUGACGCUGAGGAGCGAAAGCGUGGGUAGCAAACAGGAUUAGAUACCCUGGUAGUCCACGCCGUAAACGUUGGGCACUAGGUGUGGGUCUCUAUCGACGGGAUCCGUGCCGUAGCUAACGCAUUAAGUGCCCCGCCUGGGGAGUACGGCCGCAAGGCUA
rnacentral:rRNA from 1 species